AGCUGCACUGUAAAAACUCCAACUUGCAAAUUGCAAACUUGCAAAAAAAAAGUCAGGUGAACAUUUUUUUUUUUUUUUUUAGCAAAAUGUUGAGUUUACACAUCAAAACAAGUUAACUGAAUGUUUACUAUAUUUCGCUCAAUGAACAUAAAUAAGAAAGUUGAGUAAACUCAAUAUUUUGACUUCUUCAUUUGAGUGGUUAACUUCACAUCACUGCUCAUGCGCAAAGCGCCAUCUCUGGAUUAUACACGGGGUUUGCAGCUUCAAACAUCAACAACGAUGGGGAAAAGGGAGUCUCCUUGACAAGGACACUGAGCCAGAGGAUGUCCAUCCCAGGGGAUGAAGAUGAGCAUCUUAUCUAUCACUGGAUGAUGAUGUUGCCACCAUCCACUCAAACCCAGAGAUGCAUCAAAUUCACAACCUCAUCAUCUGCAGAGAAACCAACACUCAAUCACACCAAAAUGAUGGACUUAAAGGCAUCACAGAGGAUCCUGAAGAUACAGUAUUUCACUGGAACACUGGAGCAAGUUCACAUCAAUUAAAAAAUAAAACUACCUAAUUGAAACUACAUGUUUUGUUUUGUUUUUGUGAGUGUGUAAAUCCCUAAUACAGGCUACAAUACAUUAUAAGAAAAAUAAAAACAAUAUUAAUAGA